UGCGUCCUUCCCCACUCUGCCCCUGGAGCAGAACCAUGGGCAGCGGUGGUUCUGGCGGAUUGCGAACAGGUCGACCCGGGGAACUCCGCACUCUAGGAAGGCCCAGUGGGAGACCUCCGAGUGGAGCGACCGCUCGUACUGGGGGAAGAAGACCCUGCUGUGGCGGGCCACUUGCAUAUUGCAGACGCCCUGAAGGUGGCCAGGAGUAGUCGCACAUGGAACUCCACCUCUGGACGAGACUCACCCUUGAGGAGCCAGUUGUCCAGCCUGAUGUCCGUCUGGUCCACAAAGUGCGCCUUGCCAUCGAAGGGGAGGUCCUGCAUCAGAGAUUGGGCCUCCGUUGACAGACCCGAUAACAGGAGCCACGACGCCCGGCGCAUGGAGAUUGCGGAAGCCAUGGAGCAAGCCGCCAUAUCAGCCGCAUCUGCCGCUGUCUGCAGGGCCGCCUUAGCCGCCGCCGACCCCUCUUCCACCAGAGCCUUGAAGUCCUUCCUAUCCUUGUCUGGGAGAAGGGGCUCAAACUUAGGCAAGGACUCCCACAAGUUAAAGCCAUAUCUGCUGAGUAAGGCCUGGUGGUUGGCUACCCUCAGCUGAAAACUAGCUGAGGAAUAAAUCUUUCUGCCAAAGGAGUCAAGUCUCCUGAUAUCCUUAUUCUUAGGGGUGGGCACGGGUUGACCUUGGCACUCCCUGUGGUUCACUGAUUCCACCAUAAGUGUUAGGUGCCGGGUGGGAAUAAAGGUACUCGUGACCUUUCGCCGGCACAUGGCACUGGUGAUGUUGGCAACACCUUGGUGUAGUGGCAGGGCCCUACGGCCCAGUGCCAAGGGAGAUAAAACAUUGAAGAGGGAGUCUGACGGUCCCUCCAUCUCCUCAGCUUGUAGCUGAAGGCUGGAUGCCACCCGCUUCAGCAAGUCCUGGUGCGCCUUGAAGUCUUCCUGCGAGACCAAGGGCGGAGGUGCCACAAUUGUGUUGUCCGGUGCCGGAGACGUAGCACACGCGAAGUUGGGCACUGCAGUCAGUGCCGGGGCGUUGAGACCCAGGUCAGAGUCCGGACGCGGGUCCGCCAAAUCCUGGUCCAUCGACUUGUCCUGUGGGCAGCCCGACGAGGCCGAUGGAGCCCUGGACACUCCGGCAACCAAAUGGGCCCCGGACUGGGCCGGUACCUGCUGCCACAGUGCCCACUGCAUCAUUGUCCCUGCCACGGGGCACUGUAGCCUUGGUCUUGCUGGGUACCUGGUGGCACAACGAGUCGCAGCGGGGCAACACAGCCCGAGGAUGGGAAGGGGGGGACCAAGGCCGAGGUG